UCUGGGUGGUUAUUAUGAUAUUGUUGUAUAAGUAUGUUUUGUAUGUAAUGAAAUGUUGUCGAUGAAUCGAAAUGGAUAUACUGUGUAAAAGUGUUAGAAGAUCUCUCUUAUUUGGAAUUUCGGAAUGUUAAGUCUAAUUUAUGACGAUAUGAACUUGUGGUGAAUAGUUAGAGUUCGGAUUGUAUAAUUUAUUUAGCUUGUGGAUUUAUAAAUGUUGUUCAUGUUUGUCAAGUUGGCUUGGGUUGCCAUAAAUGUGAAUUAUCGAGUGAUGUGAUAUAUGAUUUUAAAAUGCACAGGUUUUAUGGAUGUG
rnacentral:lncRNA from 1 species